GCACCCGUGGCUCAACUGGAUAGAGCAUCUGACUACGGAUCAGAAGGUUGCAGGUUCGAAUCCUGCCGGGUGUA
rfam:Candidatus Marinimicrobia bacterium TMED198 130510, whole genome shotgun sequence.